rnacentral:lncRNA from 1 species
CUUCACAUAUUUUAUUCUUUUCAAACUUUAGUUUUGGCAAACCUAUCACGGAAUCUCUUUUAACUAGUUUUGAUAUUGUGUCCAUGCUUGCAUGACCUAACUUACGGUGCCAUAACCAACUAGCAUCAUUGUCCUUAGUUUCAUUAACAACUAAACAUGGGUUAUGUUUGGCAAGAUCCUCAAGGUCUACAACAUACACAUUCCCACGUCUUAUUCCUUUAAAAACUAAACUAUUGUCAUUUGAGUUGGUUAUGAUG